AUGCACGCUGGCGGCGUGCUUAACACAUGCCCGUCGAACGGAAAGGCUCCUGCUUGCAGGGGUACUCGAGUGGCGAACGGGUGAGUAACACGUGGGUGAUCUGCCCUGCACUUCGGGAUAAGCCUGGGAAACUGGGUCUAAUACCGGAUAGGACGAUGGUUUGGAUGCCAUUGUGGAAAGUUUUUCGGUGUGGGAUGAGCUCGCGGCCUAUCAGCUUGUUGGUGGGGUAAUGGCCUACCAAGGCGUCGACGGGUAGCCGGCCUGAGAGGGUGUACGGCCACAUUGGGACUGAGAUACGGCCCAGACUCCUACGGGAGGCAGCAGUGGGGAAUAUUGCACAAUGGGCGCAAGCCUGAUGCAGCGACGCCGCGUGGGGGAUGACGGCCUUCGGGUUGUAAACUCCUUUCGCUAGGGACGAAGCGCAAGUGACGGUACCUGGAGAAGAAGCACCGGCUAACUACG
rnacentral:rRNA from 1 species